rnacentral:rRNA from 1 species
GUGGGGAAUAUUGGACAAUGGGCGCAAGCCUGAUCCAGCAAUGCCGCGUGGGUGAAGAAGGCCUUCGGGUUGUAAACUGCUUUUGUACGGAACGAAACGGUCCGGGUUAAUACCCUGGGCUAAUGACGGUACCGUAAGAAUAAGCACCGGCUAACUACGUGCCAGCAGCCGCGGUAAUACGUAGGGUGCAAGCGUUAAUCGGAAUUACUGGGCGUAAAGCGUGCGCAGGCGGUUUUGUAAGACAGGCGUGAAAUCCCCGGGCUCAACCUGGGAAUUGCGCUUGUGACUGCAAGGCUGGAGUGCGGCAGAGGGGGAUGGAAUUCCGCGUGUAGCAGUGAAAUGCGUAGAUAUGCGGAGGAACACCGAUGGCGAAGGCAAUCCCCUGGGCCUGCACUGACGCUCAUGCACGAAAGCGUGGGGAGCAAACAGGAUUAGAAACCCCGGUAGUCC